rnacentral:rRNA from 1 species
AGCGAACGCUAGCGGCGGGCCUAACACAUGCAAGUCGAGCGGAGGGCUUCGGCUCUCAGCGGCGAACGGGUGAGUAACACGUAGGUAACGUACCUUCUGGUGGGGAAUAACUGGGGGAAACCCUAGCUAAUACCGCAUAUGCUCGCAAGAGUAAAAGCCCUCGGGCGCCAGUAGAUCGGCCUGCGGCCCAUUAUUUAGUCCUAGUUGGUAGGGUAACGGCCUACCAAGGGUACGAUGGGUAGCUGAUCUGAGAGGAUGAUCAGCCACAUUGGGACUGAGACACGGCCCAAAACUCCUAACGGGAGGCAGCAGUGGGGAAUAUUGGACAAUGGGCGAAAGCCUGAUCCAGCCACGCCGCGUGAGUGAUGAAGGCCUUGGUUGUAAAGCUCUGUCGUAGGGGACGAAAGGGAAACCGUUUAGACGGUACCUUACAAGGAAGCACCGGCUAACUCCGUGCCACGCAGCCGCGGUAAU